ACGUUUCAUGACACGGUCAGGAAUAAUACUGUGUACAGUUCAAGCUUUUAAGGGCAGGAAGAUUUCUUAUGUUUAUACAACGAGCUCCUUCAUCAGAUCCAACAACUCAGGAAAGAUCAGUCCAGGACAAAGGGUCACAGAAAACUGUUCCGGCAUCUUACCCUUCCAACCUCACAUGUUGAGAGAACACACUGAAGUUAAUGUCAGCCCGCCCAAGUUGAGAGAUAGUACUCAAAUGUUGCCAGCUACGAUCAAGCCCCCUCUGUCUAAACGUUUGCACCUUUCUGGACAAAGAAGUCUAAUAACUGGAGAGAUAAGACAAGAGAAAACAUUGAGCAGUAACUUUUCCACAGGCCAGGUUUCCCCAGAGGCAAAAGACAAGGGUGCUGUAUUUUCUCAACCCUUGUGAUAAGCGCUCCUGGAAGGAAAGAGAGAGAAGGCUGAAUAGCUGGAAAAACCUCCACAACAUGGUAGAGGUGCAUGUAGGUAACAAUUGUUUGGGAGAGUUCCCUCAAGGACUCUGUUGCUAGGUGGCUACAAAAUACAAACAAACAAGAUCGACUACAGAGGAACCGAGUCUCAACACGACUUCUGGGACAAGGAAAUCAAUAAAAUGCCAGCCAGUGAGGUGUUCUGAGAGCCAAGGUAACAGAGAGAUAUCAUACUACACAACUGCCUUCCAGUAUCAAGGUCUUUGGAAAGGAUUCUACAAGAGUUUGGGUAUGACAUCUAAAAUAAAAAUAAAAACCACCUUACUGAUCCAGGGAAAUUUUACAUCAGCAUAUCAAAUUAUAUCCAAAUAGCUAGUAUGAAAAUCGCUACCCAGAUUUCAUAGCAUAAUCAAACAAUAACAAGAAGAGGGAAAAGUCCUUCAAAAUAUGACUGAGGACUUCACUAGCAUUAGCAUGAAGUUCAGCCUGAGCUGGAAGACCAUUAAGAGUCUGUUGAAAUUGUCUGUGUGAUGAAUUCCAAAGGACGGAGCAGAAGAGACAAAGUCACAUGGAAGGCAAGAAGUAUCACUCCUAGAAACUGAAAAAGAGUGAACAUGGGAGACAAUCAGAGACCUCACCAUGCAGCCUGUCCCCAGGGAACCUAUGUACCUCAAUCUAUGCUGUCCUGUAAGAAGGAGGAAACUCCAGGAGGAAGAGCUGCUGCUCCUUGGAGCAUUCUUUCAGACGGUUAAAGUUGCUUUAGAGAGAAAUUCAAACAGAGUCUCUGCCACUCCCCUUUCAAAUUCCUUAAUGGAACUUGAAUGAAAAUAAGGUUCACAUGAAGUUCAGAAAACUUUAAAGCACUAUUUAAUGGUAGAAGCUCAGCUGUAAGAAUUGCUUUAUUUCCUAUUCAAUUUCAUGUGCCUAUAAUUUUCUAAGAAUUGGGAAUUUAACAGGUAGUUCUUACUUAUAUUUGCCAAUUAAAGUCUGCCAAUAGGAACAAACAUCUCAAACAUUUCAAAAUAACAAAAAUAUUUCUUUGGCAUAGACACUCAAACAUGAAGAAAUACUCCAAUAUAAUUAUAAGGCUAUUUUAAACUAAUGAAAUGUCCAAGAUUUUUAAAGUUUUAAAGCCAAAAAUUUGGGACACCAAAACUUAAGAAUUCAUCGUAUUUCCAUGAAAAAAAUAUUGAGUUCCUGCAUUUGUGGAGGAACUCAAAUACAAUUUACUAAAAUUUGAUUUAGCAUUCUCUAAAGUAAAAAGAGAUGUGAGGAAACCAUCAAAAACAUUUAAAACUGCCAAGUUCUGUUGUGUUAAAAUAUGAUUUAAAACAUUUAGGGGGGAAAUUAAAGUUGUGUAAGAUGUGGGAGGCAUGUUGCAAAAUAUGGGAAAAGGUUAGCCAGGAAACUCCAAAUAAAACAAUAUGUACAGUGCAGACGGGCUGUGAAGCUGCACAUUUCCCUGUGUGGCCAGAUAUGCAAAUUAAUUUACUAGUUGGAGGAGGUAGGAACAAGGCUAAUAUCUAAGCUUUGUUGCUAAGAUAACCAAAAGUCAUAGGGCAGUGCUUCCCAAUCUUUAGAAGUUGAACAGAGCCUUUCACCCGGGCUGCCUAAGACCAUCAGAAA
rnacentral:sRNA from 1 species